UCAUACAUUAGCUCAUCACACAUACAAAUAGUUCAUUCAUUCUCAUGAGUCACUACACCUAGAUUGCUACAAAACAAAGAUAAUUAAGUGCAUUACACAUAUUGGUUGAGUGUCAAAAGACACGACAUAGAUCCAGUUUUACAAAAUGAAAGCUAAAGAUGCAGCAUCUCCAAAUAGCAAGGAAUGUCCUCCAUUACAAAAUCAUCCAGUUGAUGCAGACAACCGAAUACUAGCUUCUUUAUGCAUUUCCUUCCCAACAGGAUGUUGACAAGAACUUCUUCAAUGGCAUAGGGUCAUUACACAAAUUAUCAAGGUAUUCAGAGUAAUAUACUGAAUACAUGGUUGGUGUUUACCUUGCUAGAUGGCCAUGUAAUUGACCUUGCACAGCCUCGCCAACAUAUCAUAAACCAUCAUACUGAUAAGGCAAUGUAGCAUCCCUUGUAAUCAGACCAUUCACAACAACCUCAUAAGUCUAGAAAUUAGAUAGACAACAACAGCAGCAGGAUUAUAAACAAAUAGAAACUUUAAAUACAGAUGCCAUAGUCAUUGCUUGUUAGAAAUCCCCACAUGAAAAAUCACCAACUAUCUUCGAGAGCGCAUGGCAAUAGUGGCUCGUGCCAAGUUGCCAAGUUGUAAAUAUUUCACAAGAAAAAAAUAAAGAUUCAGGACUGAUAUCUCGAGUCAGGCUCAAUUGUCGACCAUCUGAAACGUUUAGCAGCUAUGGAAAUCAGCGCACUGUAAACGUAUGUCAAACGGAAUUGGGAAACAAGCACAACAUAAAAUAGUAGGCUUCUGCAGAAAAGAAAACAAAUCAAGAGCACUCAAUCAAGCAGGGUUUUCUGCUAUACGCCACAAGUACCUUUUAUCCAACCCAAGCAAAAACACUAGGUUAUCGAAGGUUUUUUACAACACAGAUAUCAUGAUAUCAAAACUACAAUAGUCUGCAUUGACUUAAAAUACAACAAAAAAAUGUUCUCGUCCAACCACAAUAUUUGUAGUCGAUGACAUGAGAGCUAAAUAAUCCAGAACUAAUAAUCCGUACAACUCUACACUUGUGUUUUUAAUGUAGGACCUAUAAUUGAAAUCUAAGACCUAUAUAAAAUAAAUAUCUGAAACCCAGUCUUUGUUCUUGAAAAACAAUUAUAUUACAAGAACCCAUCAGAGAAACAUACAAUGCAUAUGAACAAAUACAUGUAUAUAUGCAGUUAUACCACCAGUACAUUUUGCUACAUCCAAAUAUGUAUCCGAUAUGCGUGCGAGAUAGGAAUACCAUGAUAUGACAAUAUGUGCGUGAUACAGGAAUACCAUGAUAUGUGAAUUCCACCUGAGAAAUACCUUUUCAAAAAACAGGCACCA
rnacentral:lncRNA from 1 species